UGCCAGCCGCCGCGGUAAUACGGAGGGGGUUAGCGUUGUUCGGAAUUACUGGGCGUAAAGCGCACGUAGGCGGACUGGAAAGUUGGGGGUGAAAUCCCAGGGCUCAACCCUGGAACUGCCUCCAAAACUAUCAGUCUAGAGUUCGAGAGAGGUGAGUGGAAUUCCGAGUGUAGAGGUGAAAUGCGUAGAUAUAGGAAGGAAUACCGGUGGCGAAGGCGGCCUCCUGGUCCGGAUCUGACGCUGAGGCGCGAAAGCGUGGGGAGCAAACAGGAUUAGAUA
rnacentral:rRNA from 1 species